ensembl:lncRNA
GGACAGCCGUUCCGGUCCGUCCCCUCCCUCUGUCCGAGGUGACCCGGGACCGGCGCUUGGGGGUGUUGCCCUGGGCGCUCGGACACCGCCUCCCAGGAUUAAAGCGAGAGCCGGGGAGGAUCGAGGACUCCGAGCCGGGCCGAGGAAGCAGCGAACUCCAGAGGAGGCGGAGGAGAAGGAGGAGGAAGAAGGGGCGAGGGGAGGGGAGCUGCCCCGGAGGGCAGCAGGUAAGUGGCUCGCGCGACGGGUUCUCUGUGCUGGAGAUCCCGGGAGCAAGGAAGGACCUGGGCGCCCGGGCUGGGUGAGAGUAGCGGGAGGUGAAGCCAGGUGUGAGCAGCUCCGGCCCGGUAGUUCCGUCCUCCCGCCGUCUGGACGCACUGGGCUGAGCCGAGCAAAGCGACCUGCGUGAGGUCAGGAGUGUUCCGAGCGCCUGGGACGCCUUGGCACGGGAGUCAGAGCCCCCCAGGCUGCUCUUUUGGCAUCACUGGGUUGGUGCAGGCUACUCUGCCGGUCCUUAGCCAAUUGGUAGCCGGAAAGGUGCCUCGGAGUGGGUCCCCUUGGCUGAAAUCGGCUCAUGCUCCCCUGGCCGCUUUAGCUCCGAGUUGGGAACAAGGGGUGCGCCUUUUCCCUUCGAGGACGAGGACGGAGGGAGGGUUGUCCAUCCGCUUCUUUGUUUCGGGAAAAUCUCUGCAGCCUCGUAGUGUUACCUGAACUGCUUCUUGGUUCCCUCCCAAAGUGGGGAGAAACUGGAAACUCUCGGAGAUGCAGGGAGCGAUAACGCCGGCGCGGCGGGGGCGGGCCUGGAGGGCCUCCGGGCGAGGUGCGAACCGCUCGGUGGCCCCAGGAAGGCAAUUCCCACAACACGGGCCCCAGUGCGGCGACCCGGAGGCCACGAUCAGGGCUGGGCCGCCUGGACAGCCGGCAACGCCCCCCGCCCCUGCUCCGGUCUCCUGCGCUUCCAGUGCGGGAAGGAGCGGUCCUGGUCUCUAGGCGCACACUCCAUGCCAGGGACAAGGCCGGACACCUGGGCACUUCGGUCCACUGCAUGCCAUCUGGCAGGACCCCGAGCCAUGGCACCGCGGCUGAACGCACCAGCUUGGCAGUGGGCACCGAUAAGAAUUGCCUUAUGGCCCCAAAUUCCGCACUUCCAGGCCCCAGAGGGGAAGCACGGGUUGCGGGCGGCUGCCUGCCCUGGCGUGCUCCCCGGCUUUUGGGAAGGGCCCACCCCGCUGGUGAUCCCAAAUCCGGAAUUCAGUUUCGGACGCUGAGGUGGCUGCAGGCCGGUCAGGUGGAAUCCCAGUGGAUCGUUUGGGAGGGAAAAGAGAGUGACUCGAGACCUGCCUGUCGGGCAGGGGUCACCCGGGGCUCGCCUCUAGCCUGCGAAUCCCGCCCGAUUCCCGCCGGAUUCAGACCUGCGUGGUAGUACCGGGCACACAGCAGGCGUCCUGGGCUCCGGGCUGUAGAGAGCCAACCAAGUGAUGGAAAAUUACAAAGGCUGCUAAGGAGAACUUCAAGGUGUUUAGAAAACCUGAAGUGAGGGGAGGGUUGUUGACUUAGCCUGGGAGGUCUCGGAAGGUUCUCCAGGAAGUGGGGACUGAGCCAAUCUCCCCUGGAGGACGGUGGGGGCUGGGAGUGGGAGCCGGGCUUGCAUGACACAGCUUCCUGGGAGCGCAGGCGCUGCUGCUGCUGAGUGAGGUGCAGGGGUUGGGGAACCCAGGGAGGCGGUGGAGGUUUGCUCCCCCCUUCCACAGCUUUUCCAGAGGUGGGCCUGCCUGCAUCCCCCACCAUGGCCAACCUUACUGGACCCUUGAGGUCAAUGUGAGAGGCCAGGGCAGCACCAGCAAGCCCACACCACAGGAGUCAGGGAGCUACGGGGCGGGCUCCUCCUGGAGAUUGACUAUGGACACCUCCCUCUCCACUUUUAAAACCGUGAGCUGGCUAGCAGCAGGAGUCCUUUGUUCUUGACUGGGAGGUUUGUUUGUUUGAUCCCCAGCAAUGCCUUUCUUAUUGACACCUCCAAGGUCAGUCUUUUUCCUACAAGGUUGUGUAGUUGCCUGGAGCCUACAGGGCUCAGGAUUGCUUGCUGAUUGGCCUCAGCUCACCCUGGGCUGCUCCACCCUGGACUCCUGCGUUAAUUGUAGGAGAACAUUGGGUUGCACCCCUGUUAUCAUAGGAACAGCCCAUGUGGAUGUGGCCUUUACUUCCAACUGGGCAUCCUUCCAGGCUCUUUGUGAUGCAUGUAACUCAGUUGAGAGCAACUAAGGCAGUCGGGAAAUAACUUGCCCCAGGUGAUCCCAUGACCUGUAGGGAGAUCAGGGGGUGCAGGCAGGCCAGAUGGCUCCAGGGAAGCUUUGUGAGGCCUGGAAUCCUCGUGGGAAAGGGGGUGGCUCUAGGGCCAGGCUGACUUCCUCAACAUCCAAGAGCAGAGCCUCUUCCCUUCCCCCUCCCCCCCAACACCUGCCCCGCUGGCUCCGAGCUGCCCACUUCUAGGGUGACCUGGGCAGGACAGCUUGCCCCUUUAUGGGGCAGUGCAUAGGGUUGACCGUCUCUGGUGAUGUGGCCGAGGGUACAAACGUCUUUAGGCGGUGAAGCCUAGACACGCGAAGGACACUAUAAUGGUUGUUGCGGAGACUCGACCCAGCCUGGGACACGGGGUCUACCAGGAUGUGUAAACCAGGGCUCCAGGCUGGUGCCUCUCACUCUUUUCCACCUAGGCCUGUGGCAGGAGUCCUGGGGGCCUCUGUGACCACUGGGGAUCAUUGCCCUGGUUUCAGUUGCUGCAUCAGAUUCUGAUGGAAUAGGAAAUCUAUUUUUUGAAGCCCUCCAGAAUUAUGCAGUCCUUAGCAUGGAAGUAGAAAAAAGAAAGGCGACUGGGUCAAAGUAGUGUCUGGUCAGCUUUGCUUAAUUACGGAGGGGAAGCCGGCUCUGUUGGUGUGGGGGUGGGGGCACUCAGGGCUCGUCCACCUUCUGCUGCUCUCUCAGCUCUGGGUCUGCUGGGUGGUCUUGCUUCCCACAAUUGCUCAGUCUUUGCUGCCCUUCCUGGCACCCCCAAGAUGAGCUAAGGGGCUUCUGGGGAGGGAAGAGGUGUCACACACCUGGGUGCUGAGAUGUGAAUUGGGCCAGGCUUGGUGAGUCCCUUCCUAGCUUGAGGUUGGGGAUCCCUAUGUAUAGGCCAUUUUGGGGGAUCUGGCUUGAAAGCCGCUCAGGACUGUGGGCCUGGAUGUGCGGGAGGGAACUCCCAGUGCCCCUGCCCCCACCGUGCCGAUGGCCAGCCUGGUCCCAAAUGCAGUAGCAGAGGGCUCAGCUGAUCACACAGACAGGUCUGAGGAACAACCCAGAGGCAGAACUCGAGAUCAGGAGGAAGGGGAAGUGACCUCUGACUUGGUCUGCCCCAGCCACUGGACAGAGGUCCAGAGAAGAGGAACCAGGGGCAUGAAAAAUGUCAUGGGCAGUCUUAGAGACAUCCAGGAAGAAUGGCAGACCCUGAUUUUCUGGUGGACAUGUGGGCAGCUCCUUGAACUGUGAACAGUGUGAAUCUUGAAGAGGGCAGGUGACUCAAAGCAGAGCUUUAUGCUUGUUAGAGGUCAGUCAAGGAGAAGGAGGGAAGGACUUGCCAUGAGUGGAAACUCCAGGCAUUUAUGUUGUGUGUAGGGGUGGGGUGCAGGAGGGACGAGGGUGCAGAAAUGUUAUAAGGAAGCAGGAAAUGUUUGAAAGGCUUCUCUCUCUAUCCAUGGGGAUUCUCCAGGCAAGAAUACUGGAGUGGGUUGCCAUGCACUCCUCCAGGGGAUCUUCCCAACCCAGGGAUUAAACCCAGGUCUCCCACACUGCAGUCGGAUUUUUUACCAUCUGAGCCACAAUGGAAGCCCUGAAAUUCACAUUAAUUCUUGCAGCUAGCUGCAUGUAAAUAGCAACAAAAGCUUAAGUUUGGAUGCUACUGCAAAGGCAGAGUGGACAGAAUCAUUGGGAGUUCUGUUGGCCUUCUAGUGGAUGUCCAUUAGAGAAAUAUUUUCUAGGGAGCUCUGAUCUGGAAGAUGAGAUGAAGCCUAGGCUUUUAUGAUGGCUUGUUUGGAUGUCACCUCACAUCAGCAUGGCUUUAAGCUCCCUGAUUUUGGAAAGGCCCUCCUGGCAGGGCAAGCACCUGGCCUCAUCUGGGACUCGAUCUGAACACCAGGCAUGUGGAGCCUGUGUUUUCUAGGGAUAGAUUUGUGUUUCUGACCACAAAAUAUAAAAGAUCAUCAUGUCUGGCCUCUCAGCCAGUUUGGUUCUAGAAUGUGCUGUAGACAUAGCCUUACAGCGUUGGAUCAGACUUUUUUAUUUUUUGGUUUGAGGAACUGUUUCUCACAAGGGAACCCAGUGGAUACUGAAAUUUCCUCAUUGUUGGAACUUGGUUUCCCUGGAUUGAGUUAAAUCUGCCCUCCUGAUAUUUCUGAACUUUUUGAUCCUGAGUUCUUCCUUUGGAUCUUCACACAAAAAAAUUGAGUCCUUUUCCCAUACAUCAGUCCCUUAGCUAUUGUCAUUAUGUUAUUCUGGAGGGCUCAUCCUGUGAUGCGCAUGGUGUUAGGCCACAAACACAUUUAAUCUGGACAGAACCCCAUUUAUCUGCUAUCCUUGGGUCAGGAAGAUCCUCUGGAGAAGGAAAUGGCAACCCACUCCGGUAUUCUUGCCUGGGAAAUCCCAUGGACAGAGGAGCCUGGCGGGCUAGAGUUCAUGGGGUUGCCAAGAGUUGGACAUGACUGAAGUGACUCAGCACGCAUAACCUGCAUGCAUGCCCAUUUCACAGAUCGACUCAGGCAAGUUCUUCGAACCUUAGACAGUGGCUU